CUCAAUUACCUUGUCUCAGCUUUAGAAAAUAACCAGUUCACAGUGUGUUAUUUCUCCACAGCUCCUGCAGCUGAAACUUUUGCAGUUGCUUUAAUUUGUCUUGUAUGUGUGACCAGCUGAGACAAACUCAUAAAUGGUGAGCAUCUUAAUAACUAACAAGCCCUUUUAACUUAAGAGUUAAAAAGGCAAUUUAGGUGGGUUGGACUCCAGCACCAUCAGAAGCUUUUGGUAGCCAGGGGUUCCUUUCCUGAAGAGAAACUUGGGGUCAGUGGUGGGAAUGGUUCUAAAAUGCAUCCUGCUCUUGGAAGGACCCUAAACACCCAAAAGGAGGAGAACAAGAUGAGAGGCAUAUUGUCCUUUUGUCCUCUGUCUCUAAAGGAGGCUGGGUUCAUGUCAUCCUGUGAAGAAACUCCUUUACAGUUGUCUAGCCGGGAGAGUUUCUACCAAGUGUCUUUUGUUAUGCCCAGGCACCCUGGUGACUGGGCUGACAUUGAUGGGAGUGUUUCUCCUCCCAGCCCGGCCCUGCAUGGUCUGACACCUGCCAGCUGCCCUGAGCGCUGCUGCUGCUGCAGCACCUCCUGCAUCCCUGCUUCCUCCUCCUGCAGCGAGGCCUCAGCAGGAGCUGCAGGCUGCUGGCACACUUCUGGUCUUGAUGUGAAAUUAAUUGACACAACUUGAAUCUUCAGAGAUGACGCCAGAAGGAAGAACAGAAGACCUGUGAGAUAACAAAGAACAAAUAUGAUGUGAAAUUGUCUGUUGGCAUUCUUCAGUUGGAGAGGUUUGACUUUUGCAGCUUGGUUGCUGUGCCUUGCAGCCAUACAAGCCUCCAUUUACAGCUUUUGGGACUUGUGGUUGUCUCAACAGCUCAGUGGGCUUCUUCAGCCAGGAGAAGUGCACAAAUGUAUGAACAGAUAACAGGCUUUUCAUGCUGCUGUGCAGACUCAUCUGUAAGACUGGGAAAUCGUGCCACAUUUGUAGAAACUACUGUUGCUGGUGCAGGGUUUGGAAAAGGAGAAAAGAGAAAGAGUUAAUUUCUGAAUUAAGUUCUUGGGUGUUAUGAAGGAGAUAUUGUAAUUGGAGAGUUACAUAAAUACUGUACAUUUUGUAAGAGCUUACUUGGGUAAGGUGCUCUCAUCUUCAAAACUGUAACUUGUUUCAGAGACCAAAUUAAUUUAUAUGGUUUGUUCACUCCACGUUUUAUACAGGAAACCAAGUAUACAAAGCGAGAUUUUUCUUGCCCUUAGUACCUUCUUCUGUGGGUCACACUAACUAAAAACUCUAAAUUUUUUCAGAAGCCUCUGGGUUUUUCUGCUCUGUGCCUUACCAAAAGCUUCACAAAUGAAGACAGCUAAAGACAUAAAUAGUGUCUUAACUGUACAUAUCUGAGAUUUGCAUAUGUUCAGAAAUUUACCCGCCUUGUUUCCAAGAAAAGUGAGGAUGAAUCACCCUCCAGAGGGGCUGUUUUCUCUUUGCUGACUGUAGAGGAACUUUAGGUUGGUGUCAGGCAGCUGAAGUUAUAGGUAGCAUUCAUCAGAGCCAAGAAAGACUAUUCCUCUUCUGAAGGAGAGAUCGAGCUGGCUCUAAAACCCAGAGUAAUGGGAAAGUGAAGCAUGUGUAGAUAACCAUGUGAAGGGCAGAGGUGUGCACUAAGAGCCUGCCAGACCAAGCAGUAAGGGGAGUUAUGGGGGCACUCCACAGGAGUACAAAUCCUAUCAGCUGGAAAAAGGAUGAUGUCUUUUUCAAAGCAUGUAAUGGCUGAAAGCAGAAGUGAUGGUAUUUAUCUCUUAAUAAAGAAUGUAGAGAUAUGUUUGUACA
ensembl:lncRNA